CCUACGGGAGGCAGCAGUGAGGAAUAUUGGUCAAUGGACGAGAGUCUGAACCAGCCAAGUAGCGUGAAGGAUGACUGCCCUAUGGGUUGUAAACUUCUUUUAUAUGGGAAUAAAACGUUCCACGUGUGGGAUUUUGUAUGUACCAUAUGAAUAAGGAUCGGCUAACUCCGUGCCAGCAGCCGCGGUAAUACGGAGGAUCCGAGCGUUAUCCGGAUUUAUUGGGGUUAAAGGGAGCGUAGGUGGAUUGUUAAGUCAGUUGUGAAAGUUUGCGGCUCAACCGUAAAAUUACAGUUGAAACUGGCAGUCUUGAGUACAGUAGAGGUGGGCGGAAUUCGUGGUGUAGCGGUGAAAUGCUUAGAUAUCACGAAGAACUCCGAUUGCGAAGGCAGUUCACUGGACUGCAACUGACACUGAGGCUCGAAAGUGUGGGUAUCAAACAGGAUUAGAUACCCUAGUAGUC
rnacentral:rRNA from 1 species